rnacentral:rRNA from 1 species
AUUGAACGCUGGCGGCAGGCCUAACACAUGCAAGUCGAGCGGAUGAAGGGAGCUUGCUCCUGGAUUCAGCGGCGGACGGGUGAGUAAUGCCUAGGAAUCUGCCUGGUAGUGGGGGAUAACGUCCGGAAACGGGCGCUAAUACCGCAUACGUCCUGAGGGAGAAAGUGGGGGAUCUUCGGACCUUACGCUAUCAGAUGAGCCUAGGUCGGAUUAGCUAGUUGGUGGGGUAAAGGCCUACCAAGGCGACGAUCCGUAACUGGUCUGAGAGGAUGAUCAGUCACACUGGAACUGAGACACGGUCCAGACUCCUACGGGAGGCAGCAGUGGGGAAUAUUGGAUAAUGGGCGAAAGCCUGAUCCAGCCAUGCCGCGUGUGUGAAGAAGGUCUUCGGAUUGUAAAGCACUUUAAGUUGGGAGGAAGGGCAGUAAGUUAAUACCUUGCUGUUUUGACGUUACCAACAGAAUAAGCACCGGCUAACUUCGUG